UCCAAACGGAAGGUUUACGGUCUUUUAUCAUUCAAAAUUUUCGUCCAAGUGCAAUUGGUCGUGGCAUUUCUGAUGACCAAUGCCAGUGGUUGCUUCGGGCGGUUGUUGAGCUAAGCCUUUUUGGAGGGCCUGAUGACCCGGGGUUUAAGCUUUUCCGAGGUAGCCUAUGGAAACAGUGUGGCAUUGAGGUGGAUGUUGAGGAUGGUUCGUCCAAGAAUGAUUCGACUUGCGCUAGUUCGGCUCAGGAUUGAAUAAAGAUGAAGAAUAAAUGUGUGAUUUUGGACCUUGGUGCCGACUAGUGCGUGUAGUUAGCUUUGUUUAUAAAAGUAGUAAAUCCACAUGCAAAAAGGACCAAUUUGCUUUGGAUUAAGGUUAUGUUGGGAGCUAUCUAUGAAGUUUACUCAUAUGAUCUGAUAUAAGCUAUUCCUCAUUUUUAAGUCUCCUAUAAUUUAACUUGAAAAUAUCAUUUAUUCUUCAAGUCGUAUUUCA